GCGUUUGUGGUUUAGUGGUAAAAUCCAUCGUUGCCAUGUGACUGACUCUCUUUCCAAGAGUGGUUCCAGCGUCGAUGGGCCCCGGGUUCGAUUCCCGGCGAACGCA